GGAGGUGCAGUGGCUCUGUGGAAGAGCAUCUGCUUGGCACGAGGAAGGUCGUGAGUUCAAUCCCAGCCUAUCUCCA
rnacentral:tRNA from 1 species